rnacentral:rRNA from 1 species
AACGAACGCUGGCGGCAGGCUUAACACAUGCAAGUCGAACGCCCCGCAAGGGGAGUGGCAGACGGGUGAGUAACGCGUGGGAACAUACCCCUUUCUACGGAAUAGCUCUGGGAAACUGGAAUUAAUACCGUAUACGCCCUACGGGGGAAAGAGUUAUCGGGGAAGGAUUGGCCCGCGGUGGAUUAGCUAGUUGGUGGGGUAAAGGCCUACCAAGGCGACGAUCCAUAGCUGGUCUGAGAGGAUGAUCAGCCACAUUGGGACUGAGACACGGCCCAAACUCCUACGGGAGGCAGCAGCGGGGAAUAUUGGACAAUGGGCGCAAGCCUGAUCCAGCCAUGCCGCGUGAGUGAUGAAGGCCUUAGGGUUGUAAAGCUCUUUCACCGAUGAAGAUAAUGACGGUAGUCGGAGAAGAAGCCCCGGCUAACUUCGUGCCAGCCGCCGCGGUAA